CGUCUAUUACAAAUACAACAUGAUAUCAUGACUUCGCGUAAACAUACACUCCCACUUUCUUAAGCCAAGUGGCGUGUUAUCUGUUCGCAUUUUGAGCCAUCUGCCUGUAUGUCUGCGCUGUAUACAGCGGACGGCAGACUGCACGUCACAG